rnacentral:rRNA from 1 species
GUUGAACGCUGGCGGCGUGCCUAAUACAUGCAAGUCGAGCGAACGGACGAGAAGCUUGCUUUUCUGAUGUUAGCGGCGGACGGGUGAGUAACACGUGGAUAACCUACCUAUAAGACUGGGAUAACUUCGGGAAACCGGAGCUAAUACCGGAUAAUAUUUUGAACCGCAUGGUUCAAAAGUGAAAGACGGUCUUGCUGUCACUUAUAGAUGGAUCCGCGCUGCAUUAGCUAGUUGGUAAGGUAACGGCUUACCAAGGCAACGAUGCAUAGCCGACCUGAGAGGGUGAUCGGCCACACUGGAACUGAGACACGGUCCAGACUCCUACGGGAGGCAGCAGUAGGGAAUCUUCCGCAAUGGGCGAAAGCCUGACGGAGCAACGCCGCGUGAGUGAUGAAGGUCUUCGGAUCGUAAAACUCUGUUAUUAGGGAAGAACAUAUGUGUAAGUAACUGUGCACAUCUUGACGGUACCUAAUCAGAAAGCCACGGCUAACUACGUG